UACAGAGGUCUCAAGCGUUGUUCGGAUUCAUUGGGCGUAAAGGGUGCGUAGGCGGCGCGGUAAGUCGGGUGUGAAAUCUCGGGGCUUAACUCCGAAACUGCAUUCGAUACUGCCGUGCUUGAGGACUGGAGAGGAGACUGGAAUUUACGGUGUAGCGGUGAAAUGCGUAGAGAUCGUAAGGAAGACCAGUGGCGAAGGCGGGUCUCUGGACAGUUCCUGACACUGAGGCACGAAGGCCAGGGGAGCAAACGGG
rnacentral:rRNA from 1 species